rnacentral:rRNA from 1 species
UACGGAGGGGGCUAGCGUUGUUCGGAAUUACUGGGCGUAAAGCGCACGUAGGCGGCUUUGUAAGUUAGAGGUGAAAGCCCGGGGCUCAACUCCGGAACUGCCUUUAAGACUGCAUCGCUUGAACAUCGGAGAGGUAAGUGGAAUUCCGAGUGUAGAGGUGAAAUUCGUAGAUAUUCGGAAGAACACCAGUGGCGAAGGCGACUUACUGGACGAUUGUUGACGCUGAGGUGCGAAAGCGUGGGGAGCAAACAGG